UUCCUAGGAUGGCGAAGUCAUGGUUCGCCUUACUCUGCCUCUGAUUGGCUAGUUUUUGUUCCCUUUGUUGGCUGGGUUUGGGAAUGCGAGGUUGAGAUUGGUUAGAGUUAGAGAAGGAAUACCACAGUAAGCCAAUCAGAGGUAGAGUAGGGCGGGUCAUGACUUCGCCAUCCUAGAAAAAGAAAUCAUCGCGUCAGGUGCUAUGUCUGCGCGCGCCUGCCGAGAAGUUCAAGCGGCUGGCGAGAGCGCGCGCAGAUAAAAGCUUCAACUGAGGUGGUGAUGCAGCUAAGGACAGUGAAAAUUGAACUGGAUUUGUCAGUUGGCCGGAUAGACAAUUCUUGUGGAUUUUGCUCUGUCAUCUUGACAUUGUGUGUGAUUGUGUGAGUGGAGACAGGUGUGCUGGAGUCACAGCAGAGCCCCACCAGCUGCAACCCGUUCCAUAAUCAAGACUUCUGCUUCUACUCAGCCCUGCCAGAUCUACAUUGCCAGAUUGUAGCCUCUGCUCCAGUCAGUUUACGCUUCAAGGUUUCUCCUGCAUUUAUCAGUUUUCUUGUUGUUGCCUGUUUUCUCUAGCCUGACCCUGUCUCCUGUUCCCUGCAGUCCUGUCUGCUCUGGCUUCUGUCCCUGUCUCCUGUUCCCUAUAGUACCUCUGCCCUGUCUCCUUUCCCAUGUCUCCUCAGCCUUUCUUCCCUGCCCUUGACCCCCACUCUACCCAGCUUCUACGAGUUCCAUUCUGGACCUGCUCCCCUUGCCCCAGCCUGCCUCAUCUCCGGGUUCCCAGCUACCAGCCCAAGCCCCAGUUUCCCAGCUACUAGUACUAGUUUCCCCUGGCCUGCUUUAAUAAAUACCCCGUCCUACUGUGUCCCUGUCUCCUUGCCUCUGUGCGUCUGCACUUGGGUUCACCUGCUCGACCCCACGUAACAGAAAUGCCAUUUGACCACACGUUUUAGACUCAUGUCCAACCCGCUCACGCUAACCUUGAAUGUGAUCUGUAUGUAAUAUGGAUUGUGGCAUGUUUAUUAACAAGCUGUUCUGGUCACAUAAAUGCUAUGUACUAAUGACACAAUGAUAAGCUCU